GACGAACGCUGGCGGCGUGCUUAACACAUGCAAGUCGAACGGAAAGGCCCUGCUUUUGUGGGGUGCUCGAGUGGCGAACGGGUGAGUAACACGUGAGUAACCUGCCCUUGACUUUGGGAUAACUUCAGGAAACUGGGGCUAAUACCGGAUAGGAGCUCCUGCUGCAUGGUGGGGGUUGGAAAGUUUCGGCGGUUGGGGAUGGACUCGCGGCUUAUCAGCUUGUUGGUGGGGUAGUGGCUUACCAAGGCUUUGACGGGUAGCCGGCCUGAGAGGGUGACCGGCCACAUUGGGACUGAGAUACGGCCCAGACUCCUAUGGGAGGCAGCAGUGGGGAAUAUUGCACAAUGGGCGGAAGCCUGAUGCAGCAACGCCGCGUGCGGGAUGACGGCCUUCGGGUUGGAAACCGCUUUCGCCUGUGACGAAGCGUGAGUGACGGUAAUGGGGAAAGAAGCACCGGCGAACUACGU
rnacentral:rRNA from 1 species